rnacentral:lncRNA from 12 species
CGGUUGACUGAUUGUACCCGCCAGCUGGCUAAUAUCAUAAUUAACAAAGUUGCUACUACAUCUGCAAAGUUUAAUCGAAAAAUUUGCCAGUGAUAUGAUGGCAUUGUCACAAAGAUCACAAGGGACACGGAGUUGACUUUUGCUCAAGGUGGAAUGGCAAAGCUGUAUAAGCAAGACAAGAAAUUGUGAACUUGUUCAGCCAAAGGAAAGAAUAUACUCUGGAGGUUCCUGUAAUUCAAAGAAAAUGGACCAGGAUGACAUUUGGGUUCUCGUGCUACCAAAAUCCUCUUGAGAAGGAUAGCCAGGAGGCUAAUACCGGGCGGCCGGGAAGGAGGCCGCGCUCGAGGGUUAUCUCGCCGCCUCAGAUGCCGGGAAGCCCAAGGAGCCCAGGCGCUUCUGGACGACGUUCAGCAAGGCCGCGGGGAUUCCUGCGCGGAGAGGAGCCUGCCUGUUCUGUUCCAAGGUGCUGGACACCCCCGCCUGGCCGGGCCGGGGCCCAAGGAGGUGCAGGCGCACUUCUCAUCACGGGAAACGAACUGCCCACGGGGCCAGCGGAAGAUGCGCGAGUGGAGCCCGCGCCUGGCUGCGGGUCGGGCUGCGGGUCGGGCUCCACGCCGGGACGUCUGCAGCCCACGGAGGCUUCGCUUAGGAGAAUCACGCUCCCUCGCAGGAGCCCGCGGCCCGGAGCGCAGGGGCUCGCCGAAGGGCGCUCGCAGCAGCCGCCGGCAGGUGCACAGGUUCCCGGUUGUUACUUCCCGAGACUAACCCUACGUUCGCAAAUAGGCAGAAGGCGAUUCGGGCGGUCGCUCUGUGUGUCUGUGUGUCCCGCUGUGAGUGCACGUCCACUCCCGUGUCUGUGUACGUCUGUGCCCCCGUUCCUGUCUUCAAUCCCUCGUGCACGUCCCUCCCCCCGGUCGGUUGGUCCGUCGGUCGGUCGGGGAGGUUUGGCCAGCCAGCGCCUGCUCAGAUGUGGUCCCAGGCCCCAGGCUCUCAUUUGA